rnacentral:rRNA from 1 species
GCGAACGGGUGAGUAACACGUAAGUAACCUACCUUUAAGACGAGGAUAACAAUCGGAAACGGUUGCUAAGACUGGAUAGGAAACAGAAAGGCAUCUUUUUGUUUUUAAAAGACCUUCUUCGGAGGGUAUGCUUAAAGAGGGGCUUGCGCCACAUUAGUUAGUUGGUGAGGUAAAGGCUUACCAAGAUUAUGAUGUGUAGCUGGACUGAGAGGUUGAACAGCCACAUUGGGACUGAGACACGGCCCAAACUCCUACGGGAGGCAGCAGUAGGGAAUUUUCGGCAAUGGAGGAAACUCUGACCGAGCGACGCCGCGUGAACGAUGAAGUAUUUCGGUAUGUAAAGUUCUUUUAUUGAAGAAGAAAAAAUAGUGGGAAAAACUAUAUUGACGUUAUUCAAUGAAUAAGCCCCGGCUAACUAUGUGCCAGCANCCGCGGUAAGACAUAGGGGGCGAGCGUUAUCCGGAAUUAUUGGGCGUAAAGGGUGCGUAGGCGGUUAGAUAAGUCUAUAAUUUAAUUUCAGUGCUUAACGCUGUCUUGUUAUAGAAACUGUCUUGACUAGAGUGAGAUAGAGGCAAGCGGAAUUCCAUGUGUAGCGGUAAAAUGUGUAAAUAUAUGGAGGAACACCAGAAGCGUAGGCGGCUUGCUGGGUCUUUACUGACGCUGAGGCACGAAAGCGUGGGGAGCAAACAGGAUUAGANNNNNNNNNNNNNNNNNNNNNNNNNNNNNNNNNNNNNNNNNGGGGAAACUCGGUACUGAAGUUAACACAUUAAGUACUCCGCCUGAGUAGUACGUACGCAAGUAUGAAACUUAAAGGAAUUGACGGGACUCCGCACAAGCGGUGGAUCAUGUUGUUUAAUUCGAAGAUACACGAAAAACCUUACCAGGUCUUGACAUACUCUGCAAAGCUAUAGAAAUAUAGUGGAGGUUAUCAGGGAUACAGGUGGUGCAUGGUUGUCGUCAGUUCGUGUCGUGAGAUGUUAGGUUAAGUCCUAAAACGAACGCAACCCCUGUCGUUAGUUGCCAGCACGUAAUGGUGGGGACUUUAGCGAGACUGCCAAUUAAACAUUGGAGGAAGGUGGGGAUAACGUCAAAUCAUCAUGCCCCUUAUGAUCUGGGCUACAAACGUGAUACAAUGGCUAUUACAAAGAGUAGCUGAAACGCGAGUUUUUAGCCAAUCUCAAAAAGGUAGUCUCAGUACGGAUUGAAGUCUGCAACUCGACUUCAUGAAGCUGGAAUCGCUAGUAAUCGCGAAUCAGCAUGUCGCGGUGAAUACGUUCUCGGGGUUUGUACACACCGCCCGUCAAACCACGAAAGUUAGCAAUACCCGAAAGCAGUGGCUUAACUUCGCAAGAAGAGGGAGCUGUCUAAGGUAGGGUUGAUGAUUGGGGUUAAGUCGUAACAAGGUAUCCUUACCGGAAGGUGAGGAUGGAU